rnacentral:rRNA from 1 species
AUGAACGCUGGCGGCGUGCCUAAUACAUGCCAGUCGAGCGAACAGACGAGGAGCUUGCUCCUCUGACGUUAGCGGCGGACGGGUGAGUAACACGUGGAUAACCUACCUAUAAGACUGGGAUAACUUCGGGAAACCGGAGCUAAUACCGGAUAAUAUAUUGAACCGCAUGGUUCAAUAGUGAAAGACGGUUUUGCUGUCACUUAUAGAUGGAUCCGCGCCGCAUUAGCUAGUUGGUAAGGUAACGGCUUACCAAGGCGACGAUGCGUAGCCGACCUGAGAGGGUGAUCGGCCACACUGGAACUGAGACACGGUCCAGACUCCUACGGGAGGCAGCAGUAGGGAAUCUUCCGCAAUGGGCGAAAGCCUGACGGAGCAACGCCGCGUGAGUGAUGAAGGUCUUCGGAUCGUAAAACUCUGUUAUUAGGGAAGAACAAAUGUGUAAGUAACUAUGCACGUCUUGACGGUACCUAAUCGGAAAGCCACGGCUAACUACGUG